rnacentral:rRNA from 1 species
GAUGAACGCUAGCGGGAGGCUUAAUACAUGCAAGUCGAACGGGAUUCAGAGUAGCAAUACUUUGAUGAGAGUGGCGCACGGGUGCGUAACGCGUAUGCAACCUACCUUUAACAGGUGAAUAGCCCCGAGAAAUCGGGAUUAAUACACCGUAACAUUGCGAGAUGGCAUCAUUUUGCAAUUAGAGAUUUAUCGGUUAAAGAUGGGCAUGCGUGACAUUAGCUAGUUGGUGAGGUAACGGCUCACCAAGGCCACGAUGUCUAGGGGUCCUGAGAGGGUUAUCCCCCACACUGGUACUGAGACACGGACCAGACUCCUACGGGAGGCAGCAGUAAGGAAUAUUGGUCAAUGGGCGCAAGCCUGAACCAGCCAUGCCGCGUGCAGGAAGACGGCCCUAUGGGUUGUAAACUGCUUUUGUCAGGGAAUAAACCUAUCUACGUGUAGAUAGCUGAAGGUACCUGAAGAAUAAGCAUCGGCUAACUCCGUG